rnacentral:rRNA from 1 species
AUUGAACGCUGGCGGCAGGCCUAACACAUGCAAGUCGAGCGAGCGGCGGACGGGUGAGUAAUGUCUGGGAGACUGCCUGAUGGAGGGGGAUAACUACUGGAAACGGUAGCUAAUACCGCAUACAAUCAGAUGUGCCCAGGUGAGAUUAGCUAGUGGGUGGGGUAACGUCCCACCUAGGCGACGAUCACUAGCUGGUCUGAGAGGAUUACCCGCCACUCUGGAACGGAGACACGCUCCAGACUCCUACGGGAGGCAGCAGUGGGGAAUAUUGAACAAGGGACGCAAGCCUGAUGCAGCCAGGGCGCGUGUGUGAAGAAGGCCUUCGGGUUGUAAAGCACUUUCAGCGGGGAGGCGUUACCCGCAGAAGAAGCACCGGCUAACUCCGUGCCAGCAGCCGCGGUAAUAC